rnacentral:rRNA from 1 species
UGGUGGAGUGAUUUGUCUGGUUAAUUCCGAUAACGAACGAGACUCUAUCUUACUAACUAGUCGCAGCUUUAUUCUGACUGCUGAGCUUCUUAGAAGGACAGGGGGAUUAUAAUCCCACGAGAUUGAGCAAUAACA